CGUGUAGGCUGCUCGGAAAGUCGGAUGUGAAAGCCCUGGGCUCAACCUAGGAAGUGCAUUCGAAACUUCCGAGCUGGAGUGCUGGAGAGGAAGGCGGAAUUCUCGGUGUAGAGGUGAAAUUCGUAGAUAUCGAGAGGAACACCGGUGGCGAAGGCGGCCUUCUGGACAGUUACUGACGCUGAGACGCGAAAGCGUGGGGAGCAAACA
rnacentral:rRNA from 1 species